rnacentral:tRNA from 1 species
GAGGGUAUAGCUCAGUGGCAGAGCGCGUGCUUAGCAUGCACGAGGUCCUGGGUUCAACCCCCAGUCCCUCCA